GGAAGGAUCAUUAACACGUAUCCACGUAUCAAAACCCCUCUGUGCAACUCUCUUUGUUGAAGGUCUGAUUGGAGUUGUAUGCACUCGAUCUUAAUGAUGGGAGCUUCUCCUUCUCUGAAAGAGAGCUCGGGAUCUAGGAGUGCGUACCGCGCUUGACAAUCGGGCCGAUAUUUUCCCAUCGUUAGGCUUUUUAUCACUUUUAACCCCUUUGUACUUUUUAUGUACUGAACCAAUUCUUCGAGUUUCGGCUUCCGGGCUGAGAUACGAAAGAUAUUACGAAACUAAAGAACAACUCUUAGCAACGGAUAUCUUGGUUCCCGCAACGAUGAAGAACGCAGCGAAAUGCGAUACGUAAUGCGAAUUGCAGAAUUCAGUGAAUCAUCAAAUCUUUGAACGCAAAUUGCACUCUCGGGUGUUCCCGGGAGUACGCUUCUUUCAGUAUCGGUUCUAUCUAAACUCGACUGCGUUUUGAUCAACCUUCGAAACGUUUGUUCGGAUAUUGAGCAUCACAGUAUUCCUACCGAAGGCUGUGUCGCUUGAAAGAUAGAGAGGCCCAUCUCACACUAUCGGUCAUCACUCUAUGGUUUUACUUCACUUCUCGUUUUUUUUUUCCUUCCGAAAGAAAUUACGGGCUGGAGCAAUCUAAGUGACGUGGUUAAGUUCGCCUCCGUGCGACUCCCCAUCGUCAAUCAUCUUAGUGCGCAUCAGUUGUGUCGUGAGGCUUUGUGUUGUGCUGGUGAGUACAUGGUGACUCUGAAAACCCCCAUUGGAUUAUUUCCAACAGGAAACAAAAAAAUCAGAUCUGAAAUGAAGUGAGAGGACCCGCUGAACUUAAGCAUAUCAUUAAGCGGAGGAAAAGAAAAUAACAAUGAUUCCCCUAGUAACGGCGAGUGAAGCGGGAAGGGCUCAAGCUGAAAAUCCGGAAGCCUUGCGGUUUCCCGAAUUGUAGUCUAGAGACGUGCUGUCAGUGUGUGACCUGGGUAUAAGUCUUUUGGAACAAGGCAUCAUAGAGGGUGAGAAUCCCGUCUUUGACCCAGAGUACGCCACGUACGACACGCGUUCAGAGAGUCGAGUUGGUCGGGACUCCAGCUCUAAAUGGGUGGUAAGAUUCAUCUAAAGCUAAAUAUUGGCGGGAGACCGAUAGCGAACAAGUACCGUGAGGGAAAGAUGAAAAGAACUUUGAAAAGAGAGUUAAAAAGUACUUGAAAUUGUUAAGAGGAAAGCGAUGGAAACCAGUCGUGCCUGGUGUAACUAAUAGCUUCGCCGGCGAAGGGGUUGCCGCUCGUGUGGUUAAACCGCGGCGGUGGUUCCGGACGUUUGUGCGGGGUUUGUAUGUUGCGUUAGGUGGGUCAGCAUCAAUUCGGCGCUCGGGAGAAAGUCGGGGGGAAGCUAGGUUCGGCUUCGGCUGUCCCCGUAUAGACCCCUGAUCAUACCGGGCGCUGGAUUGAGGAUUUGACAACACGCGCCUUCUGGCUUGGAUCCUGCCUUCUGCGGCGUCAACGGCUCUGGACAGAAAAUCUGUGCUGGUCGUGAAGCGUCGUACUGGGGUGGUGCAUUCAUAUGUGUGUUCGCGAUGCUGACGAAAUGGUUCUCAUCGACCCGUCUUGAAACACGGACCAAGGAGUCUAACAUAUAUGCGAGUAUUUGGGUGGAAAACCCUGAUGCGCAAUGAAAGUAAAGGGGGCUCACGCUCCUGAGGUAGGAACCCUCGCAAGGGGGGGCACUAUCGACCGAACGUUCGCUUGCGAAAGUUUUGAGUAAGAGCAUAUCUGUUGGGACCCGAAAGAUGGUGAUCUAUGCCAGAACAGGGUGAAGGCAGGGGAAACUCUGCUGGAAGCUCGUAGCGAUACUGACGUGCAAAUCGUUCGUCUGAUUUUGGUAUAGGGGCGAAAGACUAAUCGAACCAUCUAGUAGCUGGUUCCCAC
rnacentral:misc_RNA from 1 species